GAUGAACGCUGGCGGCGUGCCUAAUACAUGCAAGUCGAGCGAACGGACGAGAAGCUUGCUUUUCUGAUGUUAGCGGCGGACGGGUGAGUAACACGUGGAUAACCUACCUAUAAGACUGGGAUAACUUCGGGAAACCGGAGCUAAUACCGGAUAAUAUUUUGAACCGCAUGGUUCAAAAGUGAAAGACGGUCUUGCUGUCACUUAUAGAUGGAUCCGCGCUGCAUUAGCUAGUUGGUAAGGUAACGGCUUACCAAGGCAACGAUGCAUAGCCGACCUGAGAGGGUGAUCGGCCACACUGGAACUGAGACACGGUCCAGACUCCUACGGGAGGCAGCAGUAGGGAAUCUUCCGCAAUGGGCGAAAGCCUGACGGAGCAACGCCGCGUGAGUGAUGAAGGUCUUCGGAUCGUAAAACUCUGUUAUUAGGGAAGAACAUAUGUGUAAGUAACUGUGCACAUCUUGACGGUACCUAAUCAGAAAGCCACGGCUAACUACGUGCCAGCAGCCGCGGUAAUACGUAGGUGGCAAGCGUUAUCCGGAAUUAUUGGGCGUAAAGCGCGCGUAGGCGGUUUUUUAAGUCUGAUGUGAAAGCCCACGGCUCAACCGUGGGGGGUCAUUGGAAACUGGAAAACUUGAGUGCAGAAGAGGAAAGUGGAAUUCCAUGUGUAGCGGUGAAAUGCGCAGAGAUAUGGAGGAACACCAGUGGCGAAGGCGACUUUCUGGUCUGUAACUGACGCUGAUGUGCGAAAGCGUGGGGAUCAAACAGGAUUAGAUACCCUGGUAGUCCACGCCGUAAACGAUGAGUGCUAAGUGUUAGGGGGUUUCCGCCCCUUAGUGCUGCAGCUAACGCAUUAAGCACUCCGCCUGGGGAGUACGACCGCAAGGUUGAAACUCAAAGGAAUUGACGGGGACCCGCACAAGCGGUGGAGCAUGUGGUUUAAUUCGAAGCAACGCGAAGAACCUUACCAAAUCUUGACAUCCUUUGACAACUCUAGAGAUAGAGCCUUCCCCUUCGGGGGACAAAGUGACAGGUGGUGCAUGGUUGUCGUCAGCUCGUGUCGUGAGAUGUUGGGUUAAGUCCCGCAACGAGCGCAACCCUUAAGCUUAGUUGCCAUCAUUAAGUUGGGCACUCUAAGUUGACUGCCGGUGACAAACCGGAGGAAGGUGGGGAUGACGUCAAAUCAUCAUGCCCCUUAUGAUUUGGGCUACACACGUGCUACAAUGGACAAUACAAAGGGCAGCGAAACCGCGAGGUCAAGCAAAUCCCAUAAAGUUGUUCUCAGUUCGGAUUGUAGUCUGCAACUCGACUACAUGAAGCUGGAAUCGCUAGUAAUCGUAGAUCAGCAUGCUACGGUGAAUACGUUCCCGGGUCU
rnacentral:rRNA from 1 species